GGUGGAAAACAGGUGCUUGGGAUGGGCACAGGAAGGAUCAAGGGGGAGGGUCUGCACUAACCUGAUAAAUAUCCUUGUGCUUGAACAAUGGCACAUGAAAUAGAAAAUGAAACACACAUGACAGGUUGAGAGAGAGACCAUGGAAGAAAGAAAAAAUACUAUCAUAUUUUUGGGCUUUUAAAAUAAGUGGCCCCACAUUUUCGUUUUUUCAUUUUCCACCACAAGUUUUGUAGUCCUGCUUUCAGACAUGUACUCAGGUGAGCUUGCAUUAGGAAAACAGGAGCGUCCAAACAUUUUAAAGACAACCGGACCUAUGUCCAAGUUACCAUUGAUACCUAGCAUCCUGAAAUGUCAUUAUGAUGUCAUUCUUUGUGUGGAGACAUAUAAGGACCAGGAAAUAAAUGGAAUCCCAGACUAGGCGCAGCACACACGGGAGCUACUGGGUCUGUGGAACUACUUGGUGGUCAUUUCCCAGUCCCUGAAUAUGUAAUUAGAAUUAUUCUACUUAGUGGUAGGUGCAACCUCUACUUUACGCAUGUAUUUGCCACUACCUGACAUAAGAUGUUAGAAGUUGAGAGACAGAUACUAGGAGGUGGAAUCCAGCCACCUAAAUUCCAGAGGAGCUGAAAGAAAGCAAGGAUCUGCAAUUUGGUGGGUGCAGAUCUAAACAUACCAACAGAGAUACCCUCUGCAGUUGAUGAAUAUGAAACUGAGGAUGCAAUGAUAUUAUUCAAAUAUACAGGUUCAGCCCACCUUCAUGGAGAAGGAAAUAUACAGAGUAUAUACUGAUGGUUAGAUAUCUACCACCUCACAGGCUCAGAAUCACAUCAUCCCUGAGAAAAGAGUGAAUUUACAUCUUUAGGCUUGGAUUGGAAUUCCAUUUUGAUCUUCAAAAUAAAAACAACCUUCCUGUAACACUUCUUCUCAGAUAACAGAGUCAUUCUCCAAUUCUCUUGAAAAAGUUUACUCUCUGCCUCUAGGAAGCUCAUGUCCUUCUGUAAGAGUAAUCUACCCGCACAUGAAAAUGAAG
rnacentral:lncRNA from 1 species